rnacentral:lncRNA from 1 species
AUGCCUCAACAACUUGUUUCCAAAACCACAGAACUGAUCUGCUUGUCCAUGCCUUCUACUCAAGAAAAACAAAAACCAAAGCAAAACACACCACCAACCAACCCACCCGAAAGCCCUUUAAAAGGCAGUGAAAUGGAAAUGUCGAGGACAUCACAGCCCGGCGCUUCCCGCCGAGGGGAAGCCAUGUCCCGCUCCGCCCGUCGCGCCGUGCAGCCGCCCGCAGCCCGGCCCCGGCCGUUCCCGCGGGGAAGGGGAGCACUCGCAGCCCGGGCGGGAUCACCGCCGCCGCGGACAGGUCCCGCCCAGCGGCGGCCCCGCGUCACCGCUGGGGGACUUGCCGUGUCUCCCACCCUUCCCCACCGGCGUUGCAUCAGCUGCGGCCGCACCGUUACGUGGGUGGUGGCUGCGGCCCCGCUCCGCGAGGCCCGCAGGGAGAGGCUUGCGCCGCUGGGUCCCUUCCCUGCCGCUGCCCGGCCCGCGCCCCGGCGGGCUCACCUGGAGCGCCCGCACCGCCCCGAGUCCUCUUCGCUGCAGCUGCCGCCGGCCCGCGCCACCGGGCAGGGCGCUCCACAGCCCUCCUCUUCUUCCUCCUCCUCUUCCUCCUCCGCGGCUGCCAGGACGGACACUCGGAUCUGCACGGGGCCGUUCCCCGCCGCCAGCUCCGGGCCGGCGGCCCCAGUCCCGGGCUCCGCCGCCUCGGGGUCUCCAGGGCCGGCCGGCUGCCGCUGGGCCAUGGCGCUCAGGCUCAGCCCGCCGCCGCCGCGACAGCAGCGAUACCCUGGGCGGCAGCAGCCGUCGCGCGCCGCCCGGCACCCCUCCUCUCCCGGUCCCUCUCCUCUCCCGCUGAGGAGGCGGCAGCGCUGGGGCGGUGCUCCCGGCUCCGCUCCCCGGGCGCGCCCCGGCGCGGCAGCGGGAUGGAUCGUCCCUCCUCCAGCGACGCUGCCCGCAGGGCCUGGGCAAGCCGCCCGGCUGGAGUCUUUAUCGCUGAGCACUGAAUUUGCACUGCUUUUAUUUCAACAGAAAACAACGGGCUCCGCACCGGAGAGCUGCGUCCCAGGUUCUCAUCUCCCUGUACAGCCUCGGGGCUGCACUGGUGUGUCCGGACUAGAGUGUCACGUUUUAAGAAAUUCAAAAAGGUUAUGCUGGGGUGUGGCUUUAAAUACUUAA